rnacentral:rRNA from 1 species
AUGCCCUUUAGUUAGCGGCGAGUGAGCGGCAAAAGCUCAAUUUGAAAUCUGGCACUCUUCGGUGUCCGAGUUGUAAUUUGAAGAUUGUAACCUUGGGGUUGGCUCUUGUCUAUGUUUCUUGGAACAGGACGUCACAGAGGGUGAGAAUCCCGUGCGAUGAGAUGCCCAAUCCUAUGUAAGGUGCUUUCGAAGAGUCGAGUUGUUUGGGAAUGCAGCUCUAAGUGGGUGGUAAAUUCCAUCUAAAGCUAAAUAUUGGCGAGAGACCGAUAGCGAACAAGUACAGUGAUGGAAAGAUGAAAAGAACUUUGAAAAGAGAGUGAAAAAGUACGUGAAAUUGUUGAAAGGGAAGGGUUUGAGAUCAGACUCGAUAUUUUGUGAGCCUUGCCUUCGUGGCGGGGUGACCCGCAGCUUAUCGGGCCAGCAUCGGUUUGG